CCAGACUCAAGACCCAACGGGAUAGACCAAAGAACCGACAUGUGUAUGGGUCCAACUUUUAGACCCGACAGGUCGUGUCUAGGAUCAAAACCUUGACCCAAAUACAUUUGGGUUUGGGUCUGAGUCCAGCCGGACCCGACCCAUACCCAACCUGUUGCCACCCCUAGAUAUCGGGAGGUAACAAUUAUUUACAACCAUCCGAUGUGAAACCUUAUAGUUUGGAUGUGUUAUAAAAUUCAAAUUUCCUUUUUCAAACUUUGAGCUCUGCCAAUAAAAUAAAUGCGGUCAUCGAAUUUCACAUCCAAUAGUCAAGAUUAAUUAUGAUCACCUUGAACUAAAGGUAAAUGGUCUCAUAAUAUACUUUUUCAUAUAUCGUAGGCUACCCCAACUACUUUGAAAGUGAUAUUAGAAAAAACAAAUUAUAAAUUUUGCCAAAAUAUGUAGUUUUGGUGUCGGAAAUUUUACAAUGCAUUGAAAUUCCAUUCUCAACCUUAACAAUAGAAUUUAAAAUUCAGAAAAUAGUGCAAUCGAGCAAAUCUAUAAACACUUGAAAAUCUUGAAAAUUGAAAGUCCAAAUAAUUUGUUAAAAGAUGUAUUAUUUUUAAGAAUUGGAAUUCUUUCUUCUCUUUAUAUCUAUACAUCUUGAAGUCGACAUUAUCAAUUGUACGAUUUUUGAAGUUUUGAGUACUUUUUUUACUUAAUUUUUUAGGUGCACCUUACUUUUAUAAUAUAAAGUGGCAACCUUAAUAAACU
rnacentral:lncRNA from 1 species